rnacentral:rRNA from 1 species
AACGCGAAGAACCUUACCAAAUCUAGACAUCCCGAUGACAGACUGUGUAAAGCAGUUUCUCUUCGGAGCAUCGGUGACAGGUGGUGCAUGGUUGUCGUCAGCUCGUGUCGUGAGAUGUUGGGUUAAGUCCCGCAACGAGCGCAACCCUUGUCUUUAGUAGCCAGCAUUUAGGAUGGGCACUCUAGAGAGACUGCCAGGGAUAACCUGGAGGAAGGUGGGGAUGGCGUCAAAUCAUCAUGCCCCUUAUGAUUUGGGCUACACACGUGCUACAAUGGCGUAAACAGAGAGAAGCAAAGGAGUGAUCCGGAGCAAAUCUCAAAAAUAACGUCUCAGUUCGGAUUGUAGUCUGCAACUCGACUACAUGAAGCUGGAAUCGCUAGUAAUCGCGAAUCAGAAUGUCGCGGUGAAUACGUUCCCGGGUCUUGUACACACGC